rnacentral:rRNA from 1 species
UCCUGCCAGUAGUCAUAUGCUCGUCUCAAAGAUUAAGCCAUGCAAGUCUAAGGAUAAAUAUCAUAAAGUAAACCUGCAGACAGCUCAUUAAAUCAGUUAAUAUAUAAAAAGUUAUUUACACGGAUAACUGUAGUAAUUCUAGAGCUAAUACGAUCAAAAACGUCGAGUAAAAUCGGCGGGCUGAGGGGGAAUUGUCGUACCCUAUCAUUGUUUGAACGACCCCUUGAUGCCAGACCGCCCUUGUGGGCGGCAUACUUUUCUAUUUUCUGCCCUAUCAACUUUUGACGGUAGUGUAGUGGACUACCGUGGUUUCGACGGGUAACGGGGAAUAAGGGUUCGAUUCCGGAGAGGGGGCCUGAGAGAUGGCCACCACUUCUAAGGAAGGCAGCAGGCGCGCAAAUUACCCAAUCUCAAUACGAGGAGGUAGUGACAAGAAAUAUUAAUGCCUCGAUCCAUAAGGAUCUGGCAAUUGAAAUGAACUAAUUAUUAAACCAUUGAUGAGGAACAAUUGGAGGGCAAGUCUGGUGCCAGCAGCCGCGGUAAUUCCAGCUCCAAUAGCGUAUAUUAAAUUUGUUGCAGUUAAAAAGCUCGUAGUCUAUGUUGGAAGUAUCUACCACGCUGGGAGCGUAAAUUACGACUCCCUCGUGUGUAGACUUCGUGUGUCUGCGUCUCUCGAAGGCUAUUAAGUUAGUGUCGAGAGUAAGUUGAUGAUUACCUUGAGGAAAUCAGAGUGUUCAAAGCAUGCAAGUUAGCAUGAAUGUAUUAGCAUGGGAUAGUGUCAUAUACCGUUCUCGGAUUGGGUACCCGGGUUCGGAAAGAUUAAUAGGGAUAAUUGGGGACGUUUAUAUUAAAUUGUCAGAGGUGAAAUUCUUGGAUUUAUUUAGGAUAAGCAAAUGCGAAGGCAUUCGUCAGGGAUGUUUUCAUUGAUCAAGAACGAUAGUUAAGGGAUCGAAGACGAUCAGAUACCGUCGUAGUCUUAACCGUAAACUAUGCCGACCAGGAAUUGAGUGAUGUUAAUAUGGAUGACUCCCUCAGCGCCUACAGAGAAAUCUCGAGUCUUUGGGUUCUGGGGGGAGUAUGGUCGCAAGGCUGAAACUUAAAGGAAUUGACGGAAGGGCACACCAGAAGUGGAGCCUGCUUCUUAAUUUGACUCAACACGGGAAAUCUCACCAGGUCCGGACAUUAGAAUGAUCGACAGGUUGGAGACCUUUCGAGAUUUUAUGGGUGGUGGUGCAUGGCCGUUCUUAGUUGGUGGAUUGAUUUGUCUGCUUAAUUGCGAUAACGAACGAGACCUUAUUCUGCUAAAUAGUACGGCUUGAGCAUUUCGGUUGAACCGUAGGAUCGUAAGUUGGGGGUAACCCCAGCGUGCGUCUUACGUGGAAAUUUUUGCGUCAAGUUGCGACUUCUUAGAGAAACAAAUAUACAGUCAAUAUAUAGGAAGGAAGGCAAUAACAGGUCUGUGAUGCCCUUAGAUGUUCUGGGCCGCACGCGCGCUACAAUGACAAGGGUAGAGCGUCACUACUUACGCUCUACCGAAAUCUAGGGUAAACCUGGAGUUCUUUUCAUAACUGGAAUAGAUGUUUGCAAUUAUUCGUCUUUAACGAGGAAUUUCUAGUAGUCGUAGUUCACUAAACUGCGUCGAUUACGUCCCUGCCCUUUGUACACACCGCCCGUCGCUUCUACCGAUUGAAUGUUCCGGUGAAAUUAUCGGAUAGCUAUUGCAUGACGGGAAACUUUCAGGUAGAAGCGACAAGAUUAGUAAACCAUAAUAUUUAGAGGAAGAAGAAGUCGUAACAAGGUCUCCGUAGGUGAAACCUGC